rnacentral:lncRNA from 1 species
GAAUACUUCUCAGAAGACUAUACCAAAGGGCAUGAGAGUUACAUAAAUUUGCUCCUGUGCCAGUGAGGGAAGCAAGUUUUCCUUAUCAGGGUAUCAUUGCAACCUGUGUAUCUGCUCUACCUGUACCUAUGUAUGCACCACAGUAUGUCAAAAUACUGAAAAGAAAGGGUGUCAGCCUGCCCAUUUAUUGAGUCUGAGCUCAUCACAGAAAGAUGGAUGUCUCAUUGUCAUUCCAGACCAUACAAGCGGCAUGUUGGUGCAAUGAUACUUUCAUCCUGGUGACAUUCUAAACCAGAGGCCAUUCUGACAUAUUUACAAACCAUCAAUGAACCUAUCCACCCCCAUUUUUAGCCACUGUAAACUGAACCUUUUGAAGAUGUGUGUUCUCAUGACAAGGCAAACUAUCAUUCCAUCUGUAAGUCUGACUCAUUUCUUAAAGCUCGCUGUAGAUAUAUAAUGCCAGUGACCUUGUUUUGCCCUUCUGUUUAGCUCAAAUAUCUUUUCUAGGGAAGCACCAGUGUCAUCACAGAAGUUUUUGUUCAGUGCUUGUACAAGGAGAUCAAGAAUAAACUGUAUGCAGCAGAAACUGGCUUUCCA